UACGUAGGGUGCAAGCGUUGUCCGGAUUUAUUGGGCGUAAAGAGCUCGUAGGUGGUUCGGUAAGUCGGGUGUUAAACCCCCAGGCUCAACCUGGGGACGCCACUCGAUACUGCUGUGACUAGAGUCCGGUAGGGGAGCGUGGAAUUCCUGGUGUAGCGGUGAAAUGCGCAGAUAUCAGGAGGAACACCAGCGGCGAAGGCGGCGCUCUGGGCCGGUACUGACACUGAGGAGCGAAAGCGUGGGUAGCAAACAGG
rnacentral:rRNA from 1 species